UCACGCACCAUCGGAGGGGCAAUGAAGUUGAUAUAGAUGCCCUGUGUGACCAAUUCCCUCUCCAGCAGAUUACCGAAAAAGUCUCCCAGAUUGGAUCUCACGGUAACUGAGGCUCUCGGCUGUGGAGAAGUAUAUUUUUGUCUCCUUUUAGCAAUGGGGGAAUAUUUGGGAAUUUAUAGGACGAAGAUUAGGGUUAGGAGACCCGCAGGGGGGCCCACAAGCUACGGGGCGCUCCCUGCAGGCUUGUCGUCUCCCGGCAGGUGUCCUGCCCCCUUCUCCACGUGUGGCAGGUUUCUUCUGGUCCAAGAAAAAUCAUUCCGGAGAUUUUAUUCUGUUUGGAAUCCGUUUAAUAUACCUUAUCUGCAAUACUCAAAAACAUGGAAAAAACAAAAAC
rnacentral:lncRNA from 1 species